AGCGAACGCUGGCGGCAGGCCUAACACAUGCAAGUCGAGCGCCCCGCAAGGGUAGCGGCAGACGGGAGAGCAACACGUGGGAACGUGCCCUUCAGUUCGGAACAACCCAGGGAAACUUGGGCUAAUACCGGAUACGACCGAAAGGAAAAAGAUUUAUCGCUGAAGGAGCGGCCCGCGUCUGAUUAGCUAGUUGGUGAGGUAACGGCUCACCAAGGAGACGAUCAGUAGCUGGUCUGAGAGAAUGAUCAGCCUCACUGGGACUGGGACACGGCCCAGAAUACUACGGGAGGCAGCAGUGGGGAAUAUUGGACAAUGGGCGCAAGCCUGAUCCAGCCAUGCCGCGUGGGUGAUGAAGGCCCUAGGGUUGUAAAGCCCUUUCGGCGGGGAAGAUAAUGACGGUACCCGCAGAAGAAGCACCGGCUAACUUCGUGCCAGCCGCCGCUGUAAAAC
rnacentral:rRNA from 1 species